GACGAACGCUGGCGGCGUGCCUAAUACAUGCAAGUCGAGCGCAGGAAAUCAUCCGAACCUUUCGGGGGGACGUUGAUGGAAUGAGCGGCGGACGGGUGAGUAACACGUAAAGAACCUGCCCUCAGGUCUGGGAUAACCACGAGAAAUCGGGGCUAAUACCGGAUGGGUCAUCGGACCGCAUGGUCCGAGGAUGAAAGGCGCUUCGGCGCCGCCUGGGGAUGGCUUUGCGGUGCAUUAGCUAGUUGGUGGGGUAACGGCCCACCAAGGCGACGAUGCAUAGCCGACCUGAGAGGGUGAUCGGCCACACUGGGACUGAGACACGGCCCAGACUCCUACGGGAGGCAGCAGUAGGGAAUCUUCCACAAUGGACGAAAGUCUGAUGGAGCAAUGCCGCGUGAACGAUGAAGGCCUUCGGGUCGUAAAGUUCUGUUGUAAGGGAAGAACAAGUGCCGCAGGCAAUGGCGGCACCUUGACGGUACCUUGCGAGAAAGCCACGGCUAACUACGUGCCAGCCGCCGCAGUAA
rnacentral:rRNA from 1 species